CCCAGGAGUUUCCAUUUGGUGAUCAGCACUGAACACAGACUACCAACCAUGGAAUUUGGGCUGAGCUGGGUUUUCCUUGUUGCUAUUUUAAAAGAUGUCCAGUGUGAGGUGCAGCUGGUGGAGUCUGGAGGAGGCUUGGUCCAGCCUGGGGGGUCCCUGAGACUCUCAUGUGCAGCCUCUGGAUUCACCUUCAGUAGCUAUGACAUGAGCUGGGUCCGCCAGGCUCCAGGGAAGGGGCUGGAGUGGGUGGCAGUUAUAUGGGAUGAUGGAAGUCAGAAAUACUACGCAGACUCUGUGAAGGACCGAUUCACCAUCUCCAGAGACAAUUCCAAGAACAUACUAUAUCUUCAAAUGAACAACCUGAGAUUGGAGGACACGGCCGUGUGUUACUGUGUGAAAAACACAGUGAGGGGAGGUCAGUGUGAGCCCAGACACAAACCUCCCUGCAGGAACGCUCAGGGGAAAUCAGCGGCAGGGGGCGCUCAGGACCCACUGAUCAGAGUCAACCCAGAGGCCGGUGCAGACGGAGGCUGA